rnacentral:rRNA from 1 species
AGUGAACGCUGGCGGUAGGCCUAACACAUGCAAGUCGAACGGCAGCACAGGAGAGCUUGCUCUCCGGGUGGCGAGUGGCGGACGGGUGAGGAAUACAUCGGAAUCUACUCUGUCGUGGGGGAUAACGUAGGGAAACUUACGCUAAUACCGCAUACGACCUACGGGUGAAAGCAGGGGACCUUCGGGCCUUGCGCGAUUGAAUGAGCCGAUGUCGGAUUAGCUAGUUGGCGGGGUAAAGGCCCACCAAGGCGACGAGCCGUAGCUGGUCUGAGGGGAUGAUCAGCCACACUGGAACUGAGACACGGUCCAGACUCCUACGGGAGGCAGCAGUGGGGAAUAUUGGACAAUGGGCGCAAGCCUGAUCCAGCCAUACCGCGUGGGUGAAGAAGGCCUUCGGGUUGUAAAGCCCUUUUGUUGGGAAAGAAAUCCAGCUGGCUAAUACCCGGUUGGGAUGACGGUACCCAAAGAAUAAGCACCGGCUAACUUCGUGCCAGCAGCCGCCGUAA